GCUAAAAAUUUAGCCACAACAACCAACCAUAUGUUAAAUAAAAACUUAAUCACACCAAAUAAAACAUUCCAAUGCUUUAGUAAAGGCGAUUGAAAAAUUACUUAGAGCUAUACAUUAUAGUACCGCAAGGGAAUAAUGAAAUAAAAAUGAAAUAAUUAUCAAGCACAAAAAAGUAGAGAUUACCCCUUGUACCUUUUGCAUCAUGGUUUAACUAGUCCAACCAAGCAAAACGACUUAAAGUUUGACCCCCCGAAACUAAGCGAGCUACUUCAAGGCAGCUUAAUGAGCCAACCCGUCUCUGUAGCAAAAGAGUGGGAAGACCUUCAAGUAGAGGUGAUAGACCUAA
rnacentral:rRNA from 1 species